GGGCAAACGCAGUCCGAGCAGGGCGACUGAACGAAAUCCGGGCUAGGGAAAAGCUCCAGCCAUGGGAAAGUAAGGGGCCGGCGUGAGCUCGGAGGGAGCUAGCCACCACAGGAAAAGGGAACUCGGCGGCCUGGAAUGAAGAACAGGGGCGCGCGCACCAGACGAAGAGCUGCGGCCGAGCCAGAUCCGGGGCGGCUGGGCAGAGGGAGCAGCUGCGCGUGCGGCAAGCCGGAGCGAGGAGAUGGGCGACGCAGGGAGAUGGGCAGGGAUGGAGCUCGGCCGGACGGCUGCCAUGGCAACGGGCAGAGGGAACUAGAAGGGCGCAGCAAGCUCUACGACGAGAAGGGGGCACGGCUGACGUCCAUGGAAAGGACAGGAGGCGCCAUGGCUGGACGCGAGCAAGAGCAGGGAGAAGACGAGCAGAGAGAGAUGAGCGCCGUGGGGCUUCGCAGCGCGCGGACGCCAGGGAAGAAGACGCGACCGGACGCCAUGGCUGGACACAGGGAAGAUGGACAAGCAGAGGAACGCCGAGCAGGGAGUUCCGGCCGGCAGAGAAGCAUGGCGCGCGCACAAAGCACAGAAGCUGGGCGCAGCCAUGGACUGGGAGAUGGGCUCGGCACCAGGGAGCUCCGAGCAGGGACGCCGCGGUCCGAGCGUCGGACACCGGGCAGAGUGUGCGACGCAGGAGGAGCUCAAGCGCGCGGGGAAGGGGAUAAGCUCCAUGAAGAAAAAUCUAGAGAUUGGGAGAGACGAGCUGGGGGAAGCAGGUGCUACAGCUGCUACAAAUCCCACAAGCGCCCGGUCGACUGGGAGGAGAUAAGGGAGAGGAACGACUUCAGGAGAAUUCCAGCGCGGUGGAGAAGAU
rnacentral:misc_RNA from 1 species